UUUCCCCCAGAGUGGGUGUGGAACCUGAUGCGGGGCUUGAACUCACCACCCUGAGAUCAAGACCUGAGCUGAAAUCAAGAGAUGGACGCUCAACCGACUGAGCCACCCAGGUUGGGAGCUGUUGGUCUGCCGUAUUCAUUUCUGAGUUUGUCUGAGUUCCUGUUGCCGUCUUGAAGUGACGUACUUUGUCCAGCCCUGGGUAAGUACGCCUGUGUGCUCCCCGUAUAAACACACACAUGCACAGCACACUAGAGAACAAGAAAGCCCCAGCCCUCCCCCUGAACAGAUCCUGUGCCAAGACCAACACAGGGG
rnacentral:lncRNA from 1 species